AAAGCACCCCAAAAACUGCCCUGCUGUGACAUGCUGUGUGGAGAAGCCGAUGCCUCAAGGAACCAUGGGAUCCUCACUCUAACAGCUGUUGAGGAGCUGAAUGCCAGCAACAACCACAUGGAGUCACUGACUACUUCCCACUUCAGUGAGGAUGCACAUCUCUGGGGGUGUGGGCCCUGGGGAACAGUCUCCCCAGUCUCAGCAACCCAUCAUCGUGGGACUUUUCUAGAGCUGCUGCCGCUGUCAGUGGCCGGGUCGCCAGCAUCUCAUCCCUCAUUUUGAAUCUCAGUCAGAGAAUGUGAGAAAUGCAAGAGAUUGAACACAUGGACUGGAUGUGACGUUCCUACAGGCGUGUUGACAGAGGCAAUAACUACAGUGAGACAUAGUGAACACCUUUCAUUAGAAAGCUGACUGAGCCUUCAAAGGAAAAUCCUUUAUCACAGAGGCUCAGAGGGACCGACUGGGCCCUGCCAAGCCCCGUGGUCAGCGGUCGGGCCGACAGGAGACCCACAGGCCCCGGGUAUGCACGUUCCCCUUGGCACCCGGCCCUCUUCGAGGAGGACCGCGUGGGAGCCCAGGACGGAGGCGGUCAGGGCGGCACCUUCUCGCUGACUCUCACGUGCCUUAUUCCAAGGAAGGGUUUCUGUUCUCUGCGGGGUGUGUCCCCGGGCUCCGAGGGCCAGGGGAAUGUGGCUGCUCGGCCAUGUUUUACUCAAAUUUGUUGCUUCCUCAGCAGUAUGGAAAAGAGGGAGAUCAUGGAUGAAAAAUAAUGAAAAGCAAGGUAAGAAAGUGCUCUCUGUGCCCUGGGCAGGAAGAGCCCCACUGGCCACUCUUGGAAGCUGGCUGAGAAGUCAGAGGCUCUGACGUGGAAUAAAAGUGAUUUGGGAGGAGAAGAGGGAAUACUUCCAGACUCAUUCUAUGAAGCCAGCAUCACCCUAAUACCAAAACCAGGCAAAGAC